AAACCCCUCAUCCAGCAAAGACCGAACCCCAAAUCGAGCCGAGCCGAGCCGCUCGGCCUCGCUCGAUCUGCCCCGCCCCUCGCGCCGCCUUCCUCCGCCCCAUCUCCUCGCCUUCCUCCACCCCACUCCGGCAUCGAGCUCCGCCGCGCCACCGUCCGCGCGUACAAGCAGACCUAAAAUCGAAUCACACCGUCCCUUGCCCCCUCCUCCCAAAACCCUAACCCUAGCACAGACGCCAGCCGCCAUGGCGCUCACCACCCGCGGCGGCGGCGGCGCCGACCAGGCGCAGCCUCCGCCGGCUCCCGACGCGAGCCUCGGCUUCCUCACGAAGCGCGACACGGAGGUCAAGCUCCCCCGCGCGACGCGGGUGAAGAACAAGACGCCCGCGGGGGUCCAGAUUACCGCCGAGCAGAUCCUCCGUGAGGCCCGGGAGCGGCAGGAGCCUGAGAUCCGCCCGCCCAAGCAGAAAAUUACUGACGUCCACGAGCUCGCCGACUACCGGCUGCGCGAGCGCAAGAGGUUCGAGGACCUCAUUCGCCGCGUCCGCUGGAGCGUCUCCGCGUGGGUCAAGUAUGCCAAGUGGGAGGAGGGGCAGAAGGACUUCGCCAGGGCUCGCUCCGUCUACGAGCGCGCCCUGGACGUCGCCCACCGCGACCACACCCUGUGGCUCAAGUAUGCCGAGUUCGAGAUGCGCAACCGCUAUGUCAACCAUGCCAGGAACGUCUGGGACCGUGCCGUCUCGCUCCUGCCCCGCAUCGACCAGCUGUGGUACAAGUAUAUCCACAUGGAGGAGCUGCUUGGUGCCGUCGCCAAUGCUCGCCAGGUCUUUGAGCGCUGGAUGGGAUGGCGUCCUGAUAUUGCUGGCUGGAACUCGUACAUCAAGUUUGAGCUGCGAUAUGGGGAGGUUGAGCGUGCUAGGGCAAUCUAUGAGCGGUUUGUUGCCGAGCACCCACGGCCCGACACCUUCAUCCGAUAUGCAAAGUUCGAGAUGAAACGCGGAGAAGUGGAGCGGGCGCGGCGUGUGUAUGAGCGUGCAGCGGACUUGCUUGUGGAUGAUGAAGAUGCAGAGGUGCUGUUUGUAGCAUUUGCUGAGUUUGAGGAAAAGUGCCGGGAGGUGGAGCGUGCUCGUGCCAUAUACAAGUAUGCACUUGACAGAGUGCCUAAGGGCAGGGCUGAGGAUCUUUACAGGAAGUUCCUAGCAUUCGAGAAACAGUUUGGUGACCGUGAGGGGAUUGAGGAUGCCAUUGUGGGAAAGCGGAGAUUCCAAUAUGAAGAUGAGGUGAGGAAGAACCCACUCAAUUAUGACUCAUGGUUUGAUUACAUCAGGCUGGAGGAGAGCGUCGGGAAUAAGGACAGGAUCAGGGAUGUGUAUGAGAGGAGUAUCGCAAAUGUUCCUCCUGCAGAAGAGAAGCGGUACUGGCAGAGGUAUAUCUACCUUUGGAUAAACUAUGCUUUGUAUGAGGAACUUGAUGCACAGGACAUGGAAAGGACCCGGGAGGUCUAUAGGGAGUGUCUGAAACUCAUUCCACACAAGAAAUUUACCUUUGCUAAGCUGUGGCUGAUGGCCGCACAGUUUGAGAUUAGACAGAAGAACAUAAAGGCUGCAAGGCAGAUUCUCGGUAAUGCAAUAGGUAUGGCACCCAAGGGGAAAAUAUUUAAGAAGUACAUUGAGAUCGAGCUUUAUCUGGGCAACUUUGACCGCUGUAGAACUCUGUAUGAAAAAUACAUCGAAUGGUCUCCAGCAAAUUGUUAUGCCUGGAGGAAGUAUGCAGAACUGGAAAAGAACCUUAGUGAGACUGAUCGUGCUCGAUCUAUAUAUGAGCUUGCUAUUGCUCAGCCAGCCCUUGAUACGCCUGAAGUUCUAUGGAAGGAGUACUUGCAGUUUGAAAUUGACGAAGAUGAAUUUGAUAGAGCAAGAGAACUGUAUGAGAGAUUGCUUGAUAGAACAAAGCAUUUGAAGGUAUGGAUCAGCUUUGCUGAAUUCGAGGCCUCAGCUGGCUUGGGAGAAGACGAUGGAAGUGAGGAGAAUAAGAAUGAUGCUGGUUAUCAGGAACAGCAGACAGAGCGGGUCCGGAGGUGUCGGGCUGUCUUUGAAAGGGCAUUCGACUACUUCAGGACCAAUGCUGCAGAGCUAAAAGAAGAAAGAGCAAUGCUCCUGGAAGAGUGGCUCAAAAAAGAGUUGAGCUUUGGUGAUCUUGGUGAUGUCACGUUAGUGCAGAAGAAGGCGCCAAGGAAAGUGAAGAGGAAGAGACCACUCCCCACGGACGAUGGCUCCAAUAUUGCGUUCGAGGAGUACAUCGAUUAUAUCUUCCCUGAUGAAGUCACGCUGGCACCGAACCUCAAGAUAUUGGAAGCUGCUUACAAGUGGAAGAAGCAGAAGGCAAACGACACACAGGAUGACUGAUCUGAACAUCCAGAGGCCGCCUGUUGUGAAUGGUUUCCCACCGUCAGAGACGAGUACUACCAUGCAAAAAUCAGACGUAGAGAAGUUUUCCAUUACGCGCGGGUGUAGGCGUGGAGUUUGCGCUGCCUCUUAUACCCUACAUAUGGCCUUUUUGCAGCUUGUUCAGUGGAGUUAUUGAAGCUGUAUUUCUGACGGAUGGAUGCUGAAUUAUCUGGGUUCUGUUACCCCUGGAUUGAACGGUUCUGGUGGGAAUUGGUCGAAACAAAUACCUCCAGAAAAGCUUAUGCGAACCAACAUUUGGUUGGAUGGUUUUAGGACAAUGCUAUAUCCGACGACUAUGAAGGCUUCUGUGGCGAUGUCAAGAUGAUGUGUUGGCCUAAUCUUUUAAGGUGCUUAUAGGGGUAAAGUUAUACAUGUGUGCGUUUAUAGAGAUGAAUGUGUGUACGUAUGAAUGUCUUCAUCUCCAUUAUAUUUAAGAAGUUUAAAAAGUCCUAAUGAAAACAAUUAUACUACCUUAAGGAAGACUACAUCUCUCAUCA